rnacentral:rRNA from 1 species
UACGUAGGGGGCAAGCGUUAUCCGGAAUCAUUGGGCGUAAAGGGCGCGUAGGCGGCCUUCUAAGUCAGACGUGAAAUCCCCCGGCUUAACCUGGGAACUGCGUCUGAUACUGGGAGGCUUGAGUAUGGGAGAGGGAUGUAGAAUUCCUGGUGUAGUGGUGAAAUGCGUAGAGAUCAGGAGGAACACCGGUGGCGAAGGCGGCCCACUGGGCAGUCACUGACGCUGAGGCGCGAAAGCUCGGGGAGCGAACGGG